rnacentral:rRNA from 1 species
GACGAACGCUGGCGGCGUGCUUAACACAUGCAAGUCGAACGCUGAAGCCCUUUCGGGGGUGGAUGAGUGGCGAACGGGUGAGUAACACGUGGGUAAUCUGCCCUGCACUCUGGGAUAAGCCUUGGAAACGGGGUCUAAUACCGGAUAGGACACAUCGCCGCAUGGUGUGUGUGUGGAAAGCUCCGGCGGUGCAUGUUGAGCCCGCGGCCUAUCAGCUUGUUGGUGGGGUGAUGGCCUACCAAGGCGACGACGGGUAGCCGGCCUGUGAGGGUGACCGGCCACACAGGGACUGAGGCACGGCCCAGACUCCUAAGGGAGGCAGCAGUGGGGAAUCUUGCGCAAGGGGCGAAAGCCUGACGCAGCAACGCCGCGUGGGGGAUGACGGCCUUCGGGUUGUAAACUUCUUUCGACCGGGACGAAGGGUGACUGACGGUACCGGUAGAAGAAGCACCGGCUAACUACGUGCCAGCCGCCGCCGUAA